AUAUCAAAAUAUAAAAAAAUUAAUAAUAAUGUUAAUUGAACUAAUGAUUUAUCUUAAAAUCAUGGAAAAUAUGACAAGUAAGCAAAUUAACUAAAAUUAUGGAGAAUGUGACAAAUAAGCCAAAUCACUUCAUAAAUAAUAGUAUAGAUAUAUGACAUUUCUAAUCUGUACAUCUUUUAAGUUUGACCAAAAAACGCCCAGAAAAAAAUAAGCCAAUCUGAACACGCCCAAAUCCACCCAAUCCGUCCAAUUGACAUCCCUAAUUAUGAUAAUCCUCCUCGGGCUGUUACUAUAAUGAUGGUCAUAUCGGAUCAUGUGGAUUGGAUUUCACAUUAUCUUGUCGAGCUACUACAAGAGAAUAAUGACAAGCUUUUCCUGGCUUAUUCAUUUAGGCCUUCCAAAACGUCAUUCCUGCUCAGUUCUGCAGAGUGGCGGUAGGAAAGCUUACUUGCAGGUUCCGAACAAACAAGACUUGUUCUUCACAAGUGUAGCAGUGAAAGCGGUGAACCUACCUCUACGUUUAAUUGCAGUUUGUGUCACUUUGGUACCAAAAGCAUUGAUCAGUUCAGGAAGCAUCUCUCUACUGAUGAAGAACAUGCAAAUGAAGAGAUGAGACUUCCUGCCUCUCGUAAACGUAGCAUUAAGGAGAAUAGGCGAUCGCGAGUUGCUGACUUCGAUCGAAAAGGCAAACGUACGAAGUAUGCAAGUCCUGGCGGUUCUUGAUGGUGUGAUCUUGUUACUAAGUUAUCAGCAGCACCUCUUGCUUUUCGUUUCCUAGUCUAUGUUUUAAUUUGAAAUAUUUGUUUUUUUCAUUUUGCUUUUCUUUUUUUUUAGUACCCAUGGUUUUAUCUUAUCUAAGAAAAACAUUAACUUAAAUCUCUUAUUGUUCACUAAUUAAUGUUAUUCCCUGAUUAUGGACACUGUUUAUUAGCUCUUUUUUUUUUUUUUAGAUUAGCUUAAUCUACAAUACCAAGAGGUGAUAUAUGAUCAUUAUCUUGCCUAGUGACACAAGGCAAAAUCCUUUCAGCCAAUUAAUUUGUCACAUCAAAUAAUCAUCUAUACUAAUUAAACAUAAUGCAUGUCUUAUAGCUUAAUCAACCCACGUUUCUGUUUUUAGCCAUGUUGAUCAAUCUCACACAAAACGAAGGCCACCUUGCAGUUGUAUUAUUUUAGGUGAAACUUUUUUGCCAGUUGCCAUGGCGCCAGCAAUUCCUGUUAGUAAUUCUAUAAUGAUGAUGAUGAUAAUGUUAUCAUCCAAGUGGAGAUAUACCCUUUUAAAAAAACAAGUGGAGAUUUACCUACAAUCUAAAAUAAAGCACCAAAAAGAAAAAGAAUGAGUGAAGAAAAAUAUGGUGUUUUUUUUUUUCAAAUAAGUUUUUGAAUUUUGCAAUAUUUUCUCAUUUUAAUUUAUUUUAUUUUUUUAAUAUUUUAUUACCUUUGAAUUUAUUUAUUUUUAAGUUUAUAAUAUUAAUUUUUUUUUUGAAAUUUUAGAUUAUUUCCAACUUUUAAAAUUUUAUGUAUUUUAAAUAUCUUAUUAAUUAUAUAUUUGAUAAUUUUUGUGUGUUUAAGAGACCAACACAUCAUCGGUUUGACAUGAAAAAUUGAUUUAUAAAUUUUAAACAGUUUUCAUUGGUAAAAGCUGGUUAAGAAAGAAAGAAACCACAUUGAGUCCUACUCCAAGCGAGAAAAUGGAGAUAACAAGACUUUUAUUAAUGGAAAAUGAAGUUUCAAGGAUUCUGGGGGGACAAAGUGGAGAUUCAAACAAAGGAAUGUUCAGCG